UACGUAGGGUGCAAGCGUUAAUCGGAAUUACUGGGCGUAAAGCGUGCGCAGGCGGUGAUGUAAGACAGUUGUGAAAUCCCCGGGCUCAACUUGGGAACUGCAUUUGUGACUGCAUCGCUGGAGUGCGGCAGAGGGGGAUGGAAUUCCGCGUGUAGCAGUGAAAUGCGUAGAUAUGCGGAGGAACACCGAUGGCGAAGGCAAUCCCCUGGGCCUGCACUGACGCUCAUGCACGAAAGCGUGGGGAGCAAACAGG
rnacentral:rRNA from 1 species